rnacentral:rRNA from 1 species
GAUGAACGCUGGCGGCGUACCUAAUACAUGCAAGUCGAGCGAACAGACGAGGAGCUUGCUCCUCUGACGUUAGCGGCGGACGGGUGAGUAACACGUGGAUAACCUACCUAUAAGACUGGGAUAACUUCGGGAAACCGGAGCUAAUACCGGAUAAUAUAUUGAACCGCAUGGUUCAAUAGUGAAAGACGGUUUUGCUGUCACUUAUAGAUGGAUCCGCGCCGCAUUAGCUAGUUGGUAAGGUAACGGCUUACCAAGGCAACGAUGCGUAGCCGACCUGAGAGGGUGAUCGGCCACACUGGAACUGAGACCCGGUCCAGACUCCUACGGUAGGCAGCAGUAGGGAAUCUUCCGCAACGGGCGAAAGCUUGACGGAGCAACGCCGCGUGAGUGAUGAAGGUCUUCGGAUCGUAAAACUCUGUUAUUAGGGAAGAACAAAUGUGUAAGUAACUAUGCACGUCUUGACGGUACCUAAUCAGAAAGCCACGGCUAACUACGUG